UACGUAGGGUGCAAACGUUGCUCGGAAUUAUUGGGCGUAAAGCGCACGUAGGCGGCUUAGCAAGUCGGAAGUGAAAUCCCUCGGCUCACCAAGGAAGUGCUUUCGAAACUGCUGAGCUUGAGUACGAAAGAGGAUCGCGGAAUUCCCGGUGUAGAGGUGAAAUUCGUAGAUAUCGGGAGGAACACCAGUGGCGAAGGCGGCGAUCUGGGUCGAUACUGACGCUGAGGUGCGAAAGCGUGGGGAGCAAACAGG
rnacentral:rRNA from 1 species